rnacentral:rRNA from 1 species
UCUCAGUAACGUAGCUAACGCGUGAAGUUGACCGCCUGGGGAGUACGUCCGCAAGGUUGAAACUCAAAGGAAUUGACGGGGACCCGCACAAGCGGUGGAUGAUGUGGUUUAAUUCGAUGCUACGCGAAAAACCUUACCUACCCUUGACAUGCCUGGAAUCCUGCAGAGAUGUGGGAGUGCUCGAAAGAGAACCAGGACACAGGUGCUGCAUGGCCGUCGUCAGCUCGUGUCGUGAGAUGUUGGGUUAAGUCCCGCAACGAGCGCAACCCUUAUUCUAUGUUGCCAGCACGUAAUGGUGGGGACUCGUAGGAGACUGCCGGGGUCAACUCGGAGGAAGGUGGGGACGACGUCAAGUCAUCAUGCCCCUUAUGUCUAGGGCUGCAAACACGCUACAAUGGCCGGUACAGAGGGCUGCGAAACCGCGAGGUUUAGCGAAUCCCAUAAAGCCGGUCUCAGUUCGGAUUGAAGGCUGCAACUCGCCUUCAUGAAGCUGGAGUUGCUAGUAAUCCCGGAUCAGCACGCCGGGGUGAAUACGUUCCCGGGCCUUGUACACACCGCCCGUCACACCA